rnacentral:rRNA from 1 species
UACGUAGGCGGCGUAGUUAGUCGAAUGUUAAAGCACCGGGCUCAACCCGGGACAGGCAUUCGAAACGGCUACGCUAGAGGAUGCGAGAGGUAAGUGGAACUCAUGGUGUAGGGGUGAAAUCCGUUGAUAUCAUGGGGAACACCAAAAGCGAAGGCAACUUACUGGCGCAUUCCUGACGCUGAGGUACGAAAGCGUGGGUAGCGAAUG